rnacentral:rRNA from 1 species
GGGUCAGUAGGUUGGUCGUGCCACCGGUACGUACUGGUCUCACUGAUUCCUCCUUCCUGAAGAACCUUAAUGCCAUUAAUAUGGUGUUGCGGGGAAACAGGACUGUUACUUUGAGAAAAUUAGAGUGUUUAAAGCAAGCUAACGCUUGAAUACAUUAGCAUGGAAUAAUGAAAUAGGACGAUCGAUCCUAUUUUGUUGGUUUCUAGGAUUUACGUA